rnacentral:rRNA from 1 species
CCUGGCUCAGGAUGAACGCUAGCGGCAGGCUUAACACAUGCAAGUCGAGGGGUAGAAGCAGCUUGCUGCUUUGAGACCGGCGCACGGGUGCGUAACGCGUAUACAAUCUACCUUUUACAGAGGGAUAGCCCAGAGAAAUUUGGAUUAAUACCUCAUAGUAUUUUCGAAUCGCAUGGUUUGUAUAUUAAAGUUCCAACGGUAAAAGAUGAGCAUGCGUCCCAUUAGUUAGUUGGUAAGGUAACGGCUUACCAAGACGAUGAUGGGUAGGGGUCCUGAGAGGGAGAUCCCCCACACUGGUACUGAGACACGGACCAGACUCCUACGGGAGGCAGCAGUGAGGAAUAUUGGACAAUGGGCGCAAGCCUGAUCCAGCCAUGCCGCGUGCAGGAAGAAGCAUCUAUGGUGUGUAAACUGCUUUUGCACAGGAAGAAACAACGCUACGUGUAGCGUCUUGACGGUACUGUGAGAAUAAGGAUCGGCUAACUCCGUG